AUGACAACGAUCAUGGCUGAAGUAACAGAACAAGGGACUUUGAUUAUGCUAUCAGUUAUAAUAAUGGCUGGACAUGGUAAUGCUAUCUUAGGGAAGAUUGACCCUCAGCAGAAUAUGUGGGUCACCUGGGCUAAUGAAACCAGACAGAGUUCAUUUUGUCUGUCUCUUGCUUCUGCAUCUGAUCCUUUUAGAACGUGCUUAUUUGGGGUCCCAAUAGGGGAUCCAAAGGAACUGAGUGAAAUGUUAGCACCAUAUUCUGCCAGUGUUACUUUACUCACUAGAUCCUUUUCUGCUAAUGUCUCGGAUGGAGUAGUUGCUGCCUUGCAAGCUCUUAAUAACUCAUUGCCAUGGGACCCUCAAGAACUGGAUCUCCUGGGGUCUGUGGUAGUGGGGAAUAGCAGUAGUAACUGGACACAAACAUGCUUUGUACUCCAUGAAGGGAAACAAAAUAAAGCGCACUGGACCAACAUAACAUCGAGGACCCCUGGAUUUGAGGCCAAUGGACAUUACUGUGGAUGGAACAACACCGGGAACAUUAGUGUACCAUUUGGGGCGUAUGAAAUAGGUGACACCAAUUCGAUCUGGUUUCAAAGUCAGGCCAAAGCUUUGCCACCUGGCAUGUUUUUAAUCUGUGGGGACCGUGCAUGGCAAGGAAUACCAGCUAAUGCUUUUGGGGGACCGUGUUACCUAGGACGACUCACACUUUUCGUUCCAGAUUUGCACUCGUGGCAGAACUCGACAGGGAGCAGAAGAAUUAAACGAGAAUUAAAAACUUUGGGUUCUGACUGCAAUGAUAAUGUAGAAUUGUGGGGUCCAGCAAAAAGAUUCUUUGCUUCUUUAGUGCCUGGUGUGGGAACUGCACACGCUUUGACUAACAUUAAUAGGCUUGCUUGUUGGGCUGUUAAACAAUCAAAUGUAACAACACAAGUUCUUUCUGAAAUGUCGCAAGAUAUGGGGAGCAUAAGACAUGCUGUGUUACAAAAUAGAGCUGCAAUUGAUUCCUUGCUACUAGCUCAAGGACAUGGGUGUGAAGAUGUAGAAGGAAUGUGUUGCUUUAAUCUCUCUGAUCAUGGGCAAUCAAUUCACAAUCAAUUAAAAUGGUUAAUGGAUCAUACACAAAAAAUUACGAUACAGAAUAAUUGGUUUGAUGAUUGGCUUAAAUCUGUCUUUGGAAAUGUAGGGGGAUGGGUUUUUAACUUAAUCAAAGAGGGACUUCGCUUUUUGCUUAUAAUUGUAUUGAUUAUAAUUGCUGCGCAGGUAGUCUUUAGCUGCUUAUCUAGGAAACUAGAACAACUCACAAAGAAGGUGUUUGUAGCCCAAAAUAAAAACGGGGGAAUUGUGGAGGAAUGGGUAAGUGAAGUAGGUCAUGUGGAUGUUGAGCAGCUGGGAGGCCGCGAGGUAACAAAGUAUCGAACACAGCUCAAAUGA
rnacentral:lncRNA from 1 species